UUCACUGUUUUGUUCACUUUGGGGCUGUUCUAGCAUUUCAGUAGUUUCAGAGGGAAUCUAGACAACCAAGGAGAAGGGGUCUUCUUCCCCUGUGGCAGCAGGACUAUGUUUCUGGUUGUCUUCUUGACGAUAGCCAUUCUUUCAAUGUUUAAAUAGGGGAAAAAACAGCGUAGACACUGGGAAGUUGGAGGUUCUUCAGAUGGAAAAAGGAAGCAGAGAUGGGAAAGGAGGGGUUAGGAAAGGAUUUGAAGAAAGAAAUUGAAGGAAAAAUUAGAAACAGCUUUAAGUAUGGAGGGAAAGAAGGAUUAAAAAAGGUGCAAAAAAAAUUGAGAUACUAUCUACAUGAGCAGGUUCCCUGGGGUGCAUGUGACUGCCACUAUGAACCUCAAACCUGCAAUAUUUUAUUUAUUUAUUUAUUUAUUUAUUUAUUUAUUUAUUUAUUUAUUUAUUUUUGGUGCCGGGAAUCCAACUGACAACCUUGCAUCUGCUGAGCAGGCACUGACACUGCUGAGUUGAAAGUCCUUAUAUAUUUUUUUAGAACCUUUUCUCUACCAAACCUGGGCAGAGGUUUUGAAUGUCAAGAUCAGGAGGCUCAGUCAUGAGGGAGGAAGGCUCUGCAAGCUAAGGCCUAAAGGGGAGGUGGCACAGGGAACUGAGGUGUGUUUCCCUGCAUGCACACCUGCAAAGGUGUUUCCUCUUCCUGGGCAUCUGAAGAAGGAUGAGCAACUGCUCUCAGUACCAUCCUUCAAGCCCUAGUGUGGAAGGGGAAAAUCAGUGCCCUGCUCACUUGUGGAUUCUGGGCAGUAGGUGGGACAGGGUAGCAGGGACUUGGCUCGCAUUUCAGCCUGGGCGGCCCUGAGGAGGCCCCAAGGUGAGUUAAGUUGCUGGUUUCCUAUGGGCCAUGGGCUUUUCUGUGGCGCCACCCCACCCUACUGUAGUGCGGAAACCAGUCCCCAACUUCUCCCAAGUUAACCAACCACACCUUGUGCUGACCCAGAGCAGCUGUGACGACUUGGGUGCUGCUGAUCUUUGCUGAGUGCUGGCUCAGAAGCCAGGCCGCCUCGUCCUGGCAGUUGGAUUCUACCUCUAUGCAAAGAUGGGGGUGUAGCAGGUUGUACAACACAGUGCUCUCACCGAGUGAUGACAUCCUGGCAGUGAGAGGACAUGGGUUAGAGGUCACAUAAAGGGGUAACUUGGGUAACUUUGUCGAAGGGACUGGGUCCACUGCUGGUUUUACCCCUCCCCCCAAUGGCUGUUUCCCCCAAUGGCAGCAUCAGCUGUGUGGGGGGGGGGGCUGGGUCUAGGUCCUCACUACCCUGCAGGUAUCUUUCCCAGCUGGGCUAUAUUUUCCCAACCCCUUGGGUGAGGGGUGCUCGGGGUACUGAGACCUGAACAAAACUGCUCCCGAGAGCCUUUGAAAAUCCAGGACACAUCUUGCCAAAGUGAGCCCCUCCCUAUUUUACACUAUCACAGCCGUAUACUCACCAUGCUUCUUAACAAGUACACGUUGAAUCCUUCAAUGCAGCCCGGCUUCCUCAGAUAGAUCUAGGCCGCAAGCCUAGUCAGGUUUUCUGCCUGAUUAGUGUCAAAUGUUGGCUUUUAUGUUCAAAAGUUUCAGCUGCUGUUGGGAGGAGUCUUAACUAGAAUGAAUUUCAUGGGUGGAGUGAGGGCUCCAUUUCAAAACCAACUCAUGGUUCCUCUUUCCUGUGCAGGGUCCAGUAGUCCUCUUCCCAGCUUUUCCUCUGAAGGAUGGCAGGGCAAGAGCGAAGGUCUGAAGGGGAGGGAAUGGGAAGAGGUGAUCAGGUGUAAUGUGUGAAGACAGGAGUCAUUCUGUAACGCAUGUACCUGAAAAUUUAGAUGGGCAGGGGAGGAAACCUGUCCAUGGGGUGAAUCCUACCCUGUACCUGGCUCCCCCCCUGAUUCUGUCCUGUCCUGAACUGAGUGAGCUCUCAUUCCUCACAGCUAACCUCACAGGAGAGGCAUCCCAAAAGAAUGUUCCAACAUCCUACUUGAUGCUUAACACAAACUGGAGAUCAUAACAGUUAAGCAACUCGCCAAGGAUCACUUCCACCUGGCUGAAGUUACUGGGCUGAAUGUUUGAAUCCUGUGUGUGCAAGAAGAGCUCUUGAGACCCCUGACCUCACUGGGCUGAGUUAUUUGCUGAGAGCUAAUCAUCAGGUCCUGUGCCCCUUCACCACUGGCAGCAACGUCUAAAUUUACUUUUGAUCUGUGACUCUGAGGCUGCAGAACACAAACUUGGAUGGGGAUGUGUUCUUUUUCCUGGAUGCGCCCUUACUCUGAGGAUGGUCAUGUGUGUUAGCAGGGCAUAUUUGCUGGCAUCUGAAACUCCCUGUAUGAGGCUCACAGGAGGAGUGGAGACAGAUAGUGCCUCUGUUUGCAAUGAUGACUCUGAUUGCGUGAAUGGCGACAGCUUCCACUGACUCUCUUCACGAUGUUGAUUAUUUCAAGAGCCCCAGACAAUGUCCACCAUAACUUUUCCAAUGGGGAAAAACUUUUGUAAUAAAGAUGUUCUUUUUCUGGAAAGAAUUCAAUACAAAUUUAGUAAAAUCACGAUAUAUUUGCUACAUUGGGUUCUUCUAUAGUAAUUCUGAUGAUCCAUCAAGAAUAGCUUGAAAGCAAAAAACUUUGUGUAAUGUUAGGGUUUUUUUUUUUUUUAGUAUGAAUUUUCUUAUCUAAUAAGACAAAACCUCACAGGCUGCCCCACAUUCCUCCCACUCCUAGUUUUGGUCAAAACUUUUGAUAUGCCCAUGACAGAGCCCACACAAAGCUGUAAGGUAUUCCUGUCUGAGAGCGUUUGAUUCUCAGUUGGAUGGCAUGCAAUGAGUUGCUGUCUACCUUCUUCUGAAUGUGUGCCACACUGGAUCUGGAGGGACCCUUUCUAGCUGGACACUGUUUUUUUUCAUCUAAAAUUCAGUGAUGAUCUCCAGGCAUCUGUUUUAUGAUUCAGUUUAUUGUAUACUUUCUGUCCAUUCAUUUUUCUUUGAUAUUCUGGUUACAUUUAUUGCAUGGGUCUGGGGGUAACUCACAAAUUGAACUGUCAGAACUGAGUUACAAAUCAGUAAGUUAUAGUAGUAUUUGUUACUCUGCCUAGGUAAGAAAUACUAAACCUGAGGAAUAUAUCUAUUUUUCUGAACUUUAUUUUCUAUUGUAGUACCAGGUGUCUUGCGAAUAGAAAAGGAUUUCACAGCUGGCCUGCUGCGACAGUGAAGUUAGGACCUGGUGAAGACACUAGCAUAGAUUGUCUUACGGAAGCCAGGGUGAGAUGAAAAGGAACAGAAAUCUGUUUAUUUUCCUGUCUUGGGUGUGGAAUCUUGGUGGUUCAGAAUCCUGACCUACUUUGGUCUCAUAAUGUGGCACAAACCUUAGUAAAUAACUAUGCAGUUGUUUUGGGGCUUAUUGUCUCAAACAUUUAAAGGACUGAUUGGACAGAACUCCAGGCUAAAAUAAUUGGGAUGAAUCCCAAGUUGUGAACACUGAGCAGUUCAUUUCCACAUUUCUGUCCUUGUCAUUGUUCUCUGUAGCUGAAAUACGGAAAUCAAAAGGUCUUUGCUUCUCAACCUCCUGUUCCAUAGUUUUAGCUUGGAGAUGAGCUGUUGUGGUGAGAAUGAAUCAGACCGACUGGCCCUGAAUCUCUGACUUCCUGGAGUCUUUUUUCAGUUGGGAGUGGAGUUGAGGAGGGAUGAAGGUACCAGUUUUUUCCAAUCCAAAAUUCAGAAGGUGCCUUAAUGCUCAGGAUGAGGGUUCCCUGCCGAAGGAUCAAUCUACCCUUCUCUUCCCAAACUCUGCCCAUGUUUCCCCACCCUCUGCUUUUCUGGCUCCACUGGGCUGCCACACACAAGGUCUUAGACUUUGUUCUGAUUCUAAUCAGAAGAAUACCAGCGGCCAGUGGAGUACUAGUGCAGUGGAAAUGUGUGUGUCUGCAUUGCCUGAUUCCGUGCUUGCCAUUAGAGGCCUGGUGCCUGAAGAGUACCUUUGGGGAGAGUGCUGAGACUAUGCUGAGGCGCAGAACUGUGAUGUGAACUUUGCUUUAAUCCUAGAUGAAUUUAAAGAAAGCUGGAGUUACCAAGUACUUUGGAGAGCCUAUGGAAAUGUUGAAUUCCCUGAACAUGAAUGACUAAGUAUAAUGAGGGCCUUGGUUACUUUUUACUGAGACACAAUACCCAAUGCCCACAAGGAAAGCUUUAUUUGUUCAGUGUGUAGAUGUUUCAGUACACAAGUGACAGGCUCCAAGGCAGAGGCAUGGCAGAAGAGCAUUGUAGAGAACAAUUGAUGGCAGGAAAAAGACAGUGAAAGGGACCUUAACAGCUUUUUUAAUGCCCCUUUUAUAUUCUAUCUAGGUUACCUAGAUUACCAGGGUAGACAAUCUAGUCAGUGAACUGGUUAGUAAUCACCCCAACUUGAUCCUCACAGCCUCACCCUAGCACUGCACUAUGAGUCAGUCACACUGUAGAUCCAGCCAUCUGUGAAAAAACAUGACUCAUGACCAUGUGAGUCUUUGGGGGGGGAGUUUAAACACAAGCCAUAAAAGGGAUCCCUACAAGAAAUUUCCAGUGGGAAGUAGAUGUCCUGUCUUAAGCCAUUGAAGCACUUUUAGUCAAGGAAGAUGGACUCAUCAGAAGCCUCAAUUCCUGGAACACCUUUCUAGUGUAGUGUGACUAAAUAACCUGUGUAAUAUAGAAUAAAAUUGGUAUGUGAACUCCAUUUGGGAGAAGUUGAGUUCUGUGAGCCUCUUUGCUCCUUCACACUUUUUUUAUAGUACACCAUACAGAGGAAUGGAUAUGGAAUCCUCAUUUCGUCCCAUUGGGUCAGGGAUGUGACAAAUACACAGCUCAGAGGAGCCCGAGUAAAUCUGGGCUCUAUGAUAGAAGUAUUGCCUUGCUGCCGGGCAGGGAUGAAGUCUAACAGAAAACAACAUGUACUGAAUUUUCUGUUGUCAACCAUGUUACAGCUACUCUGACUUAACUGAGUCUAGUUAAUGCCCUCACGCGUGCCCCCCCCAGAUCCAUUCACCCUAACGAUACAUCCCAUAGAUUUAUUGAAGAAAGGAUUUUUUCACUCAGCAGUUGCCAGUUCAUGGGUCUGUUUGAAAUUCUUCCCAAGCUUUUUCUUAGUUGUCAAAGGGCAGACAUGGAACAAUUCCAUAUCUGAUAUCAGGAAACACAGGAUCAGGGCUUAGAAGCUAGGCAAAUGUCACAUCACACACUGGAAGAACUAGGAAGUACAUUUGGUUUGGUUCCUCCAAUCCCAUUGUCUUUACUCUUGUACAAUUCAUUUGCUUUAAGGAUGUAUCAAACGGGAAAAGGGAAACUUGUAUUUAUAUUAGAGUUUUCCAAACUGAGUGAUCUCUUUCAAUAUUUCUUAACUACGGAAACUAAAGUAAGAUUUUUAAAACUUCUGUUUGGGAUGGUAUAGCAAAAAAUGAUGAACCAGCUAUGACUUGGACCCUUGCAUGCACUCUCCUGGGAUCUGGUAUGAGCUCACUCAUGGAGUCAUGGUGGACUCAACCUUGAGUUCAAGGUUUUGGUGCCACUCGUGGCACUACUGGAGCCAGCAUGGUAAGAGAGACAAAAUGUUCAGUCAUUUACCUGGAUGGUGCAAAAUAUUCUAGGGAAUAAAGAGAAGAAAAACUUGGACAGAAUAAAGAGAAAAUGGCUUUCAAUGAUCCCUUAUGUUUGAACCUUUUGAAUAGCGCUCUUUCCAGAAUGGCUCAACAUGAGUAGAAAAAAGUGACACAUAGCAAAACACAGUGUCGGUUACAUGUUUGAAUCUCCACUGUCAAAAUCUGUUUCUCUGCUUAUUUGCAGUAUUUUGGUGUGCAUUCUAUCACAGUCAUUCUGUGUAGGAAAAUUCUAAUGAAUUUUGUAUAUACUGGGAUCUACAGUAAACUCUUCUGGGUUGUAACAAACUAUUGGUGUAAUAGGACCCAUCUAGGAAAUACAAGUAUGGACCUUGUCUCUUUAACUCAACUUUGAAAGGGAAUCAGGCAUUUUAAUGAAUUCCUGCUCUCAUCACUCUUUGGAAUUUACCAAAGCAGAGGGAGAAUUACAAUCAUCCUGUAGCUCCUAAGAUGGACAUUGCUGGUAUCACUGACUUAAAAAGAUCCCUUUUCCUCUCUGUGUUCACACAAGUUCCUCAGGCAGGUUGAGGCAAAUCAGUCUACACGUUUCCAAAAUGAACUUGGCACCAUGGGUGCUAUGUCUUUUUUAGCUGUGGAGCAGAAGUCUUAACCACUGGGCCUUUAUGGCUUUCUCUUCUUACUGUCCCACAGACGAAAUACAGGAGAGGUGAGAUCCUUGGGAUUCAUGCUGAAUCCACAUGGCUUGGUAUCCUCUGACCUCUUUACCGCAGUCUCAUAAUUUUACUUGUCAUGGAAAUGCUCAGUAAUCAGUGCAAAUCCAAACUGUUCCCAGAAACAAAAGAGAAUGAAAGUGUGGCAAGGUUAUGUAGCUUCCUCCUCAAGCAUCAAGAUCCCUUGGAAUUGAUUACUAGGAGUUUGGAGUUCUAGAAAUCUGUUCAAAACUAUCAACUACCUCAGUGUAGAAAGGCUAGCAAUUCUAUAUAAAGGUGUGUUUUAUUACUGUGUUUCUUGGCAAGAUAAGUGCCUGUCUUCCCAACCUAAGCCCACCAGGCCUCUACCAAGCAGGCAGAGCACAAUGCCCGGGUCUGAUUCACUGGCAGGAAGCCCUAGGUUCUUCCCUUGUGAUGGCUUUAAGAGGCUGUUUGGUGAUCAAGUUUUGGCUGGGUCAAAAACCAUGCUGUGGGCGUCCAUGUACAUAGCCAUUUUCUUUGCAACCUACCGUCUCUCACAGAAAAAGUGAUGCUCUUUGAUGUCACACAUUUUAGUUGACAUUAUUUAGACUAUUCAAAUACAUACUGGAGCAAAGUCAGGUUCAAAUGUUAUCCAAACUUGCUCCAAACUUGCUUCAGAUGCAGAGGGUAAAAUGUGCACCUGUCAGCAGGGGGAGGGGUCAGUACCUGAGAACUUGGUGUUCUCAGACCACUUUGUUGGUCCUGCAUAUAGAGCCAUUUUAUAGAGGGUCAAGGCUUUUGAGUUGGCACAGUGAGCGUGUUUGCUAUGGUUUCAUUGUGUAAAGAAGGAAGAAGAGACAGAUUGGGCAGAGGAAGCUUGAUCACAGUGCAGCAGGAGUUGUGGGGCCCUGGUGAGCAGUUCUGAAUGGCUCCAGUGUCCUUUGUCAUGAGUGUAUGUUAGAAACUUGAAGUCCUACUUCUCAGAUUCCAAAUCUGACCAUGCACUAUCAAAAAUGAGCUCUAGAAGUUUGGAUCUAAGCAAUCCUUUUCAGAGUCACGUAUGCAUUCUUCAGUCCCUGUGUUUGCACAUUGAAGCAGAGCUCUACUCAGGGUGUCGUGCCCCACUCGGUCUCCUGAAUGGACAUUCAGGCCAGGCUAAGACUGCCUAACCUUGACCUGGGAGCAAGAGUGUACAUUUACUCAUUAUUGAUCCACCAGCCUGGAGACAGUAGGAUACAACAUGGAUAGCACUGUCCUCACUCUACUUUGGUCAUGCUCAUGCUGAAAAGUGCUCAGUGAAAGGCAUAGUAAACUAGUGGGGGAAAGGAACCUUUGCAUCCUCUGAGUCUCCCAAGGAGCUCUGUGGACAACUGCUUGUAAGUGAGGUUUUUCUUGGGUGCAUUAAAGUCUGGGGUAUAACAUUUGAAUCUGACUUUGCUCCAGUAUGUAUUUGAAUAGUCUAAAUAAUGUCAACUAAAAUGUGUGGCCUCAAAGAGCAUCACUUUUUCUCAUUCCAUGGGGCUCACAUGACACCCAGUCUUCCAUCCUUGGAAAAAUUUCUGGAUUAUGAAGGUAAUGACGGCCUGGAUCUGUCCAUGUCCCUCAAGUUAUACCAUGGUUGGUCACAAGGAACACUUGAAAGCCGUUUACUAUGCCUUCUGAAGAUGGUAGUCUUCAUCCAUUUGUCUUCUCAUACAAAAUUUUAUUUUACAAUGUCCUUUGUCCCUCCAAGAUAGGCCAUAUUUAGCAUAUCUGGGAGUGACUGUCAGAGACCUAAGUUCUGAGUAGGAAAUGUGCCAUAGCUACUUAGAUGAGGAAUACUAAUAGAGAACUGUAUCAAGUCUCAGUUGUAGACUUAUUUCCAAGCACAGUACCCCAAGGCUUUUUGGCCAGGGGAAAGAUACCUAGCAUCUCACAACUAGUGACAGGGAAUCUACAGCCUGGAGAAGCUCUCCCUGAAUUCUAGUUUGAAGGCAACUCCAUAAUAACAAGUGAAAGCACAGUAAACUUGCCUGCCCUUUCGUGUUAUGGUCCAGAGAGCUAUGAUCUUUGCAUCUGUCAUGGACCAAUCAGUGACUGAGUAGUGUUUUGGCUUCUAGUUCCUGCCCUAGGCAACACUUCGCAUGACAAAAUUUCAGUAAACCCUGGGCAAACGUGCUCUGAGCACUUGUUCACUUCUAAGUCCCUUCAGACCACUUCUCUGUAGCCAAUAUUAUGGGAUCGAGAGCUGUUUAUUUCUCAAUAUCCAGUCCCAUGGUGCCUUUGUCAAUCCCUACUAGAGGUCAUAUGUGGCAGAGCUUAAAGUGGUUCUCCCUGGGUUGGGGACCCAAAGCAUCCAGUGAAAACCUGAAGCCCAUGGCAAAAUCCUGUCCAAGUCCUAAUAGGCAGCAGUAUCCUUGCUGGGGAGACCAGAGGAUAUAUGGCAGAAAGGCCGAAGGGUCAGUGCUGGAAGUUUAAGUGUCUGUGCUUAAAGGCUGAGGGACAUGCAUUGGAAGCCAGGAGAAUGAUUCUCAAUAUGAAUAUGAGAAUUGAAGUACUCUCAAAAAUGGCCAAAAGGCUGAAAUUCCUCUGAAGAAAAUCAGUCACAAUGAAUCAGCAAAGAAAAUUAGCCAAAAUCUUCAGCUUUUUUUCUCCUAUGGUUUUUCCACAUUCCUCAAAGUGGGUUUUUCAUGCUCAGAAGUGUUGGUGUGACACUAGACUACUGGUCACUGACCACAGACUGCAUGCAGGAAGCCAAAGUAAGUUUCAUGUUGUCGCUUCCAUUCUGCCUCUGAAGUGAUGGACCUCUGACUGGAGAGGGACCUCCAGAUACUACUGGCCAAUCUGCCUUCAUACUUGGAGGCCGGAGAUGGAAUCCUGGCUUUGUGCGUGAAGUUCUUGAGGCUACCCAGUGCAUAAAGGGGGAAGCAAGAUUCCAGUUGAAUCUUCAGAAUAUGUGUUCCUGCUUUGUGCCACUACCUCUGACUCCUGGGCAGCAUUUAUGCAAAGUAUAUGCCUGACUUGACAGAAAGGCUGGCUGGCUAGGUUCUGGGAGAAGGGAUAUGGCAGAGGGGCUCAUGGUUGGUUCCUUUUGCUUCAUCCAGAUCUUCUAUCUUUAAAUCAGAUGCCCUCCCCUAAAUUUAAAGACCCAACCCAAAAAUGGCAUCUGAGAUAAAUUUGUACUUCUCAGCUGAAGUACAAACAGAAAGUAAACAUAUGAAAAACAGUUCAUCUUUGGUCAUUCAGGAGGGGUGACUUAAAACAAUCCUGAGAUUCAAUAUAUAUGGCUAUUAUAAAAACAAUCAUCAACAAAUUCUAGUGGGGCUGGUGGGGGAAAAGAACCCUUCACUGUUGGGCGAACGGACUGGUGCAACCACUAUGGAAAUCAGUAUGGAAAUUCUUCAGACUAGGAUGAGAGGUCUCAUUUGACCCAGCUAUUUCCCCUUUGAUAUCUUCCCAAAGGGAUUAAAAAUGUAUCAUACCAUAGUAAUAUAUGCAAACCGAUGAUUAUAACAGUUGGUAAUAGCUACAUCUUGGAAACAGCCCAAAUACCCAUCAAUGAGUGGAUAAACAACUUUUAUACAGUCAUAAAGGAUACACGUGAGACAUUUAUAGCUAUAAACAAAUGGAUCUUGUGAGCAUACUAAAGUGAAAUAAAUUGGAGAUGUUUAAAUAUCCCAUUCUUGUAUGAGAAACUGAAAGUUUUAAAAAUCAUCGUAUAAUACUAUGAAAUGGGAAGAAAUUUUUCAAAAGGAAACUAGAGAGUGGGAGAAAAAUGAAUGAAAGAAAAGGAUAAAAUGGAAACAAUUUUGUAAAUCAGGAGAGCAAGAGGGGCUGAAGACAGAAGGGAAUGGAAAGAGGAGGGUAUCUAUCAUGUACCGGUCCAAAUACCCUGUGAAUGUGAUCAUGUUGUAGCAAUAAUAAAAAUAAUAAUUCUGAGCAGAAAAUGGGCCUAAACCAUGGGUUCAGUUUUUCUGGCAUAACAUUUUUGCUUCUUUGGAACCCGAGUUAUUUCUUUCAUCAAUAUGCUCUUUGGAAGGCGCUCAUCUUAGGAAAGCCAAGGCUUGAAUCCACUUAGUCAAUCUUGGGUGUGAUGCUCAGAGUUUGAUAGACCGGAAUGAAACAUCUGUCAGUGUGAAUAAACUUAGCUUUAAUAAUUGCUCUUAUUGAUCAGACCUGUGUCUUUGUUCAAUAUUUGAUCAGGGAUUUGGAUAGAUUGAGUUGUGGUGCCCAAAACCCUCACCCUGUGGACAUGCUCGAUUAAUCUAUGCUCUGAUGCCCUCGUCCUCCAAUACACUGACAGUUUCCAUCUGCAAAGAUCCUCCUCUUCAAGAGUUAACAUAAUGGACUCAUGCAGUGGUCUUCCUAGAGUUUUAUUUAGGACAUCAUGAACCUUACAACUUCUGCCAUCUGAGGUGUCCUAUUUUAAUCUUUGAGGGGACUGCUGGAGGAGCUGAAGAGUAAGCUUGCCAGGGGCUUGCUGGCGGUUAAGACCCAAAGUCCAAAGUCGCUAAUUGAGACAUUUCUUAUCGUGUUAUCAUCCUUAUCUUGGUAGUUCCUGGUUCAAUAACCAAAUUGUAAAGGCUUUUCAUAGUCCUAAAGUAUCUUCCAAGGCCUCAUCACAAAACGGAAAGCUACAAGAAAGAAUCCAAUAAAACUGGAUUCACCAAGUGCUCCUGGGUCAGGCAGAAAUGAAAUGCUCAGUGUCCUAUGGCUCCUGAUGUGUUCUUGUGGGUCACUUCGGUUUCCCCAAAUGUGUAAACUCACCCAUCAGAACAAUUGACCAUGAACUGAGGGAUACUUGGCAACAUACCUGGCAAGAACUCUUCUAAAUGGUUAACAUGAAGGCAAGCAAAAGUAGGUAUGACGUAGUAUCCAAGAUUCUCUUCUGGAAUGUGAUUUACCAGGGGAAACAAGUCCAACAAUGCAAACCAGUCAAUGUAGUAAUAAGGUUUGUCUGGUGACCGGCUGUUAGGUAUUAAGGGAACCUGAUGAAGUGAACAUGAGAAAUCGGUCAUUCUGACUCUGCAGGUUAUAUCUGGUUAGAUGGAUGGCUAAUAACUUGGAGACGACAACUCCUGUAGCACAUGUCUAUCUGUUCAAGCUCUGAUUUUCUUGGAGGUCUGACCUGGUGUGGCUCCCAACUUGAUAGGAGUUGAACAAAGUGGCACCCUGGUCUUUUUCCUUGUUACUAUGACUUUGGUGUCAUUGAAAGUGGGUGUCUUGAUGUCUCCAGCCUUGCCCAUUUUACUCAGCAUUGCCUCGGCUCUGCUGGGUCUCCUGUGUUUCAAUGUAAAUCUUCCUGGUACUGUGAAGAAUGUUACGGGAUGGGAAUUCCUAUGGAAACUCAACUUGGAUUGCUUUUUAUAGUAGCCAUUUGAAUAAUGCUCUGCUUAUCCAAAAACAUGGGAGAUCUUUGUCACCUAGAAAUUGUUGCCUAUAAGUCUCAGGAAACGGAGGUAGAAGUCUCUUGCCUCCUUGGUUAGGUUGAUUGCUAGGUAUUUUCUCAAUCUACUAUAAAUGGAAUUUUCUCUUGGUUUCCAUCAAUAAUAAACUGGUUGAGAGCAAGCAAUCUUUAAAUGUUGAUUUUUGUAUCCUAUUUUGCAGAAGUUUGUUUUUUGGUGGAGUGCUUAGGGCUUAAAUACAGCAUCUUAUAACUUUCAAAUAAGGAUAAUUUGUCUUCCUUUCUGACAUACAUCCUUUUUUCUCUUACCCAGUUGUGCUGAGUAAAAUCUCCAGUACCACAUUGACUAGAAGUGGUGAGAAAGAACAUCAAUCUUUUCCUGAUUUUUGAGGAAGUGGUUGGUUUUUAUCCAUUCAGAAACAGUAAAGGGACAACAUCAUACUGAAGUGACAGUGGUGUCAGCUUUAAGUGAACUCAGAUUGUUUUUCAUUUGAGCAAAUGGAAAUUAAGGGAAUAGAUGAGUAAUAAUUGCAGCAAUGACAGUAGCAGUGCUGUUGGGAAAAGAAAGUUCUAUGCCUUAAGGCCAGGACCCUAAAUUGAUUCUGAAGAGCAAAUAUUCUGAAGCCAGAUGACUCAGAGCUGAGAGGAUGUCACGAACCAGUGGGGAACAACACCUGUGCCGGGAGGGACAGUUGUCUUAGAACCACACUGUGUAUUGUGCCUCUUGUGACUUAAUUGAGCAGACUGUUUGACCUCUUAAUGUUGGAGACUCGCUGAUAACAUUCCACCACCAGUCCAAGAUUGCUGGUAUAUUUGUAUGUGGGCAACAAUCAAGCCUUUAUGCAUCAUCCAGUGAGUAGUUUAAUGUUCUAAGGUGGUAAGUUCAGGGCUCGCUGCAUAGCCAUCGUCUGGUAGCAUGAAAGCAGAAAGACUUGCAAAAUGGGAUUAUGAAGAUUUUUGUCCUGCUUCCCAUUAUCUGUGGUCCACUUUAGCCUUUUGAUUUCUCAGAAUGCAAUAUUUAAAGACCUGUGUCCCGUUUCAUUUAAAACCUUAUGUAAGAGGAGAGGGCAGGGAGUUGAAAGAGGAUGUAAGGAGCUCACAGUGCAGCACAGCUGGCAUUUAAUGAGUUGCGGGAGCCACGGCUCCAACACAGGGCAUGAGUGCAACUCCUGAGCCAGCCAAUUCUGAGGGGGAAGUAAGGUACGCUCAGACCAGGACAUGAAUUUUUUUAAUGAUCUUCACAGGGCUCUGCAAAAGUAAAACUAUUAGGAGUUAGAGUGCCAACAUGCAAAGUGACAGGGGUUUAAUUGAGGUCUCAUUUGUGACAAAAAUGUAGGCAUCCCUGGCACUGAGUGUAGGUUGAUACAUUCAGGGGCUCCACAAUAUUAAACACUUGGUCAUAAACACAUGCAAGAAGCUGUGCCUGUUAUUAUUGCCAGUUAUUAGGCCAUUUUCUGUUUCUUGUGGCUUCAUCUACCUCAAACACAUUGGUUGUAGGAAGGACCUGUCCCCAAACUCCCUUGCUGGAUCUUUUCAGGAAGACCAUGAUGAUGGUCAUCACUUUCUCACUAGCUGUUAAGUGAUAACAGACUUCUGAUUCUCUGGCUGGUCACCUAGUACCUGUCCACUGGUAAACCAUGGGGCUCUUGAUGUGUAUCAUAGAUUUGAGUUGGCUGAGUUGUUACAAGUGUCCCAAACUCCUCAGGGUUGGAUGCUGCAUCACUUGAGUGGUGCGGAUUUAAGGUGCUAGAUGUUGGGCCCUCUGCUUCAUCCUCACUUAGCUGGUACAUUGUGUACUAUGGGGCAACCGGCCAAGAGUCUUGGUUGUUAACAAUGGCUGGGAUGUCAAUGUCCCUGGAUCCAUCUUCCUCCACUCCAUAAAGGCCAUGAUUUGGUUGAUAUAGUGGUAGGCAGGACUAGCAAAGAAUUACAACUUGGACUCCAACUCCAGAGGGCAUUGGUAACCUUACAUUUAAAAUAUCCUAAACCUGAAGUUAUAGUCCUAUGAUUUAAGAAGCUGUAGACCUUACACUUAAAUUACCUUGUCCGUGAUUAUCCUGAGGUAAGAAGGCAUAGAUCUUAUGCUUGGAAGAGUCAAUGAGAAAUACCAGAUGGUUGGUAAGAACCCCAAUCCUUCCUUUCAACCUACAGGAAAAUAUGCAAAACCAAUCACUGAACUUAUGGUCCCCAACAUUCUGUAGCCCAGAAAACCUGGAAUGAUCAAUGGACAAUGCAGUGAUGGUAUCAGGAGUCUCCAUCUAUUGGCGCAAUAUGUGUAGAGCACCAGCGAGAGCCAAAGAAGGAAGCAGUGGUGCAUCUCCCAGUACUGUAGGGUACUGCCACUCCUGAUGUCUGACAUUAAUAUCUUGAUGUGCUAGGUCUUGGAAUGAGCACUGUACUCUCUGCACACAGGUUUGUGUGCUGAUGAAAAGUCUAGAUGGGUAAAGUCUUGAGUGUGGCAUAAAAGCACCAGCAGUGUGAGCAGAAGCUUGAGGCACUUUUAGAAUAUUACUUGGUCAGCCCAUCCACCAGCACAAUCCAUGCUGCAGGCAGUACAGUAGAGCCUCACACUGGGUGUUCUGUGGUGAAUGAACCAUAACCAUCCUGUUAAGUGCUCUCCAAAUUUGACUUUUAAAUCACUUGACUUGAGUCUCCUUGGUAUGGUGAUAAUCACACACAGGUAGCAUGAAAGCUUUUUCUAGUUCAUCAGCCAUUAGACUAUGAUAGCUAAGACCCUGGAAUAAAAUCCAAGGAAGCAAGAAAUUUAGAAAUUUGGAACAAAGUCUUUAUUUUAGGCCAGGCCUGGUGAUGCAGCUUCCGGGAGCCAAUAUGGAAGAUUGUGCACCUUACAGCUAUUGGGUAGGGUUUUUAAAGCCCAAAACCACAGGCAUGUUGUGAACUUUGACAGUUUGAUAGCAUCUGGGCUUCUUGGAAUCUCCUGUAAUUUCCUUGUGGUUAAACAUUUCUUAAGGAACAGCAGCACAUUUUAUUACAGAUAGGCAGGAGGGGGGGGGAGUGGGAUUUUUAACGCUGAAAACCGCAAAGAUUUUGACCUAUUUCAGAUAGCUUUCGUGGUACAUUCUGAUGGUCUCCGCGGUUAAACAUUUUCCUGGAACAGCACACCUUGCAGGAGCAUGUGUAAUCAGGUUGGAGGGACUACAAAGAGCUGAAACUUAAGUCUUUACUUAAGACUUGAAUGGAAUUUUAAUCUCUAUUUAAAUGGCACAUACAGAACAGGAAGGAGGCACAUUGGUUAGAAUUAGGCCACAACAAGACUUUCCCCAAAAAUUGGUCAUCCACUGCAUACAAAAGUGCCUUUCCAAGACACAUAUUCUUUCACCUUUGAAUCAUAAAGGGAACCAUUGCUGGCAGAAAGUAUGGCAUACAGAAUGAAAUUCCACAUUGGAAUUACUUAACAGCCUUCAGAGGGGCUUUUAUAAAGAUGAGAAUGGUUUCAAUAUGAAAAAAUAGGAUGGUGUCCAACCUAGGAUGGCCCCAAACAUUUUGAUACCUGGAGUCCUACUGGCAGGAUGUCCAACAUGAGGUUGGAGAUGAGGAUGGUGGUGACCAUGGGAUGUGGAUGGAAAAUUGGUGGUUAGUUACCAGCAAUAAAGGUCAUGAAAUUCUGAACACCUGAAGAGCCUCCUUGUUGGCAAGUUUACUAACCUAGUGAUAUUGAAUCUUGGGCUAGAGACUGAGCACUGGUCAUUAUCCUAAAGCUCCAGUUUAUUCUGGUGCAAAGGUAGAUCCAUGCUUCAACUGGCCUCACUAAUUUCUUUGAUAAGUGGCUAGGAAUGAGAGGAGGGGAGGCCCCCAGGAAUGGCUCCCUUGCAAUUCAGUUGGAUUAAUAUAUUUCAAGCACAGAACCUAAGUUGAAUCUAAACCCUGUAGAGGCUUUAAAGCAGUUGGGAAAGAGGCAGGUUACUUGAUCUGUCACAAUCCCAGGGAUGCUUCCAUUGUUCCAUAAGCAACUAGUAUCUAUUGGUUGUGACAAUGGUUUGUAGUUUUCUGCAGAUGGGACUACUUUCUUCAGCAUCUCACAUCUGCCUGAGAUGCUUUGCAAAUUAACUCUUCUUUUGCCACACUUUGCUAUUCAGGCCACAUAUUAGUGUUUGCAGGAGAAAGAGAUUUAAUGCAGGACACAAUAAUUUGCAUGAUUAGAGGACAGUAUCUGCCCACAGUGUCAAAUGUAGAGUACAAGAGAUCCAUUCUCAAGGUAGAGGUGAAGAGUGAAGCUGAGGGCCUGAAUCCCAUGGGCAACAUCUCCUCAAUUCCACAUCAGGAUGCUGAGGAUCUGAAACGGAAGACUAAAGGGUCUGUGCUGUUUCCAGUGGCUGAUCCUGGAGGGUAGAAUGUGUGGGCAGACUGGGAGGCUGGAGUUGGAAGCCAAAGUCUGCCAAAACCCAGGAGAUAAGAUGUCCAAGGUGAAAGUAAAGAGCAGAACUCUUCUGAAGGCAAUAGACAUUUGUGGCAAGUGCACAGAGCAGUCAAAGAUUCUCUGAGGAAAAUUGGGCUGAAACUUCCUGUCCCAUUCUCCUCUUACACCUUGCUGACAGUCCUCACAUGGGUCUUCCUCACCUCAACUGGGCCUUCGCACUCAAGCUGACAAUUAAUUAACCACCGUGGGUGGGUUGCUGAGUUUCCUGACAGUUUUCCAUCUGUGUUUUGUGUAGAGAACUAGUUAAGACAGACUAGUUAAGUGAGUCUGCUGGUGCGGCUCUUGAAACAAUAUUGUAGUUCUGGCUCAUAAAAUGAGUAGGGGGUGUGUUUCUGAUAAUUCCCAAGAUGGUUCCCAUCUAUAAAAGUAAGAUGCUCACCCAGGGUCAUGAAUUACAAGACUAAAUCUUAGAUGCCACAACUGCUUUGUUACAGUCUUCAGCUGCAUUAGCAGAUCCUUUCUGAGUACUUGCAAAUGAUGCUUAGUAUUUCCUCUGGCCAAGUGGUUUUCGCUGCCUUAUAUUAGAGAAAGUUACACAAGGAUACAAUAGGCUGAUGCUGUUGCCCAAACCUUGCAGGGGUUUGUUUGAAGUUGUCGUUUUUCUUUAUUCUUCACUUUUGUGUUGACGAAAUGAGAACUGCUUGCCACUCAUGCAGAAAUUCAAAUUGAAUGUUUGGAGUAAAGGUGUAAAACACAAGACACUUAAAACCCCAGCAUAAGUAACCAGCAUACAGAGACCCACAGAUCAAAGACUAUAAACCUGGCUCUGAACUUCUUGUUGUCCUGAAUGUGAAGUCUAUAGCCAGAUCUCACUGCAAGGCCAUUCUGAUGAGAGAGCUCAGACUCAUAGCAUACCCAUGUCAAUAGCUGCUAUUAUGUUGACAGCCCCUGAAACAGGGCCAUCUCAUUUCUUUAAUCCAUAUGACAUGAGGGAGACAUUUUUGUUUUCAUCUUACAGUGUGGAAGGAGCUCUAGCUCCAUGUUCCUGAGAGCACACAGCAAGAGUGACAGAAUUUCCUCUCAAUUCGGGCCUGCUGGGAUUCUAAACCCAUGCCCUGUUCAGUGUUAAACCUCCUGUAUUGAGUAUCAUUUGUAAGCCCCAGAAAGCUGUCUUCUCUAUAAGCCACAGUCAGGAAGUGCUAGGUAAUAUCGCCCUCCCAACAACUGAAACUGAUUAAUGGGUCCUCUAGGUCAAGACUGGACAGGUGACAGAGUCUAUCCAGCAAAAAGGAUGGAGUCUCACCCUUGAGGUGGGGCUUGGCGUUUCUCAGGUGUAGCCUUUGGUAACCAGGCAGAAGGUGAAGACAUUAAGCAUACGUUUAUGCACUCUAGGCUGUGGUCAAAUUUUUUGUACCAGGAAUCAAACCGUUGAUCUUGCACUUGGCAAGCAGGCAUUUAUGCCACGGAGCUAUGUCCCCAGCCCCUGUGGCCAUGACUGUAAAAGGAAGAGGUGAGCAUGUGCUUUUUUCAAAUCAUUUCAUGUGCAUAAAUUUAAGAUCAAGAAUUUUUAGGUACUUGUUCAAGUUGGAAUGUACCGGUGUGCUUGACACAAUCGCUGCUCAUCUGGGUCAUGGUCUACUUGCCAUUCCUGUUACACCACAAAACAAGUCCCACUGCAAACUUCAUAGUUUGUGAGACCCAAACAUACUAGGCAUAAAACAAUUUUUAUAGACCUUUGAGGAUACUCGCAUGCCUCUUACCUGGGUUCGUUGUUUUCAUAUUACUCUAUUUGCUCUAUAUUCUUUAUAAAAUUUGUCUGAGGAUGCCCUGCUUUUCUUCAAUUAGAAGUAAACUAUCCUUGAGAGAGCUGGUAAAGUAUGAAAACAGAAAAAUUCACAUGCUGUCUGAUUCAGGGAUGCCAAAAGAACCCUAGAUAAUACUUUGCUAGGACGGGAAGUGCAAGAGUCAUCUUGUCCAUUGCUAGGCAAUGGGUCUCAUCGCAAGGUGUUUAGCUGAUGGUCUGAGUGAGGGCUAUUGGAGUUGGACCAGCAUUGCUAAUGGACAGCAGAAGCAGCUUCCUCCAGAGUAGUGGGGCAGGGCUGACAUUGAGUGAAAGAGUGGGGUGGGGUGUGCAACUACCCACACCUAAUCUUCUAAGAGUGCUCCUAACACUGAUGACUCAUUCAUGUGGUUUUGUGCUUUAAUCUCUACCUCACUGGGCCAGGCCAGGCCAAGAUCAUAUAUUUACAUAGAAACCUGACAGCCGGUGCCUACUGUGGUGAUUAGAACACACCUAGCUGAGUGUAAGAAGGUCCAGAGGUGAGGAUACUAAUCCCUUAGAAAUUCCUGCAGGUAUGAAAUGGAAAGUGAACCCAGAAUGCUCUGACCUGGAGCAAACUGAUGUUCAGUUGGAAACCUCAUACAGCCCGAAGAGAAUGGGAAUGGGUUCUGGAGGACAGAAUGACAGCUGGAUGAUGGUUCUGGGCAAACUGAGUUUUUAAGGACUCAAAAUUUCAUAACAGAAAAUACUGUCUACAUCUCUAAACACUUAAUUGGAAAAGCUUAAGUAUGGUUCCUUAUACUGUCAUGAUAAAGAAAUACAUGUGACUGACAAAACUCCAGAAGCAUAUUUUAUGUGCAAGUUUGCUUCUUAGCCUGGGAUUCCAAGGUAGAAAUGUACUCAUGUCAUCAGAAGAUGGAGCUCUGCUCAUGUGAACAGAGCUAGGAGCAAAUUCCCACUACCUUAGUUGAUUGGCUUUUACAGCUCUGAGAAUUGCUCUGUGCUGGUGCAGGUAGAUGUACUUGAGUUCCUUCCAAGCUGAAUCUUAUUUGAACUUUCCUUCAAUGGGGGACCAGUUAGAUAAGGUGGUCAUCCAAGUUGAGACCUCUUGGAGCAUUGUAUUUGUAUAGCUUACCCUUCCUGGAAUACUAAAAAGAAAAACAAGAGCUUGAACUAGAGUAGGACUAGAGACUGCCUGAUGUGCAAGGCUGGGAAUUUCAUGCACUGAAUUUAUAAUGUCCUGUAUAGCAAAUAGGGUGGAUCCAGCAAAGGGUUACUACUGACUUUAAAUCAGCAUAUGCCUGUCCUAACAUGUGAGGUAAGGACCAUUUUUUUUUAAAGGGAGUAAAAUGCAACAAUAAAGUGAAAUGAAACAACAGUGAUAGGACAGUAGGAAAUGAACAAUGGUUACUACCUGGGAUAAUCUUACCUCUAAUUAGUUGCCCAGGUCUUGCCAGCUGAUGAAACCAGUUAAAUGUCAGGUUGCUUCCUUACUUCAGCUCUUAUCUCAGGCUGUGUCUUGUCCAGUUGCUUCCGGGGGGAAGGGUCAGGUGGGAGGUACAGUUUCCUUGCUGGUUCUCCUUGGCCAACAGGGCCCCCUGUUGACUCAAGGAGCAGGGACUGGGUUGCUUGCUUGCUCCUUGCCCCUGACUGGUAAGAUGUGCCCCAGUACAUGGAAGGUGGGGACUGCAUUGCUUUCCUGUUGUUUCUCCCCAUGUGGUGGGGCUGGCACCCUUGGUUUCAUUGUUUUUGCUGGAUUCCUGAAUUGUUUCUGUGGCUUUGUCUGUUCAGAUCUACCUCCACCCAUAGGACCCACCUCUCUCCUCCUUUUCCUCUUCCUCAUAGUGCUGCUUCCAGGAUCUAGACACCAAAGCUGGAGAGGUUCUUUUUCUCUGUUGUGCACUUGAAUACAGAACAGCACUGUGUGAAUUUAUCUAGUGAUAACUCGGGAAUCUGAAAGAAUGAAAGCCCAACUUUGGUUCAUUGUCUUUCCCAAAGCCUGGAUGACUUGGCAAUCUUGGUACAGCAGUGAACUGGACUUGAUAGUUUGGGUCAAACUGAAAUUUGACUAUAGAAGUUAAAGCCACAGGCCGGAAGCCCAAUUUUGUUUUUUACAGGAUAUCUUUUUUGUAUUGCUGUAGUAUUUCACAUGAUUGACUUCAAGUUUUUACAUUGUAUAGUAGUAUAAGGUUCCUGUACCUGAGACAGACUUUGGAAAAUGGGAAAUAAUUUUGUGCAAUCAUGGGGAAUUAUAUAAUAAGCUUCCUCACAGUUAAGGCAAUCAGAGACUUAAGUACAUCUCAGCUUCAUGGUGUCUUGCUCUUUUUGGGCACAAAUGAAACCAAAAGGACAAAAUGUAUUUUGAUGAAAAAUACUGAAUUUCUCCAUGUUGCCAUGAAAGAUCACAUAAAAGUGAAUUUGUACACUUCGUAGGCGUACUGUCUUUCAGUGUGUUUGCUUAUGUCUUCUGAAUUUUCAGGAAUCAUCAAAAGCUCACAUAAUCUACAUGGGGAUUCCGUACACUGAGGAUUCCUCAUUUAUUUCAAGGUAACUAGAAUAACUUAGGAAAAGCCAUCUAUGGAAAAUCCCUAUGUGAAUAUUCACUUAUUUGAAGGCACUGGGGGCAGCAUAAAACCUAAUGUUGCUCACCUAUGUUCAAAGUUUUUUCUCCCUUAUGGUUUUUCUCAAGUAUGUAAUGGGAGUUGUAUAUACUGAAAACUUCCCACCGUUUUUAGGUCUUCUCUCCACUGAGUUUGCCUGUAUGUAAGUGCUGUUACAAAUACACAGGCAAUUUCCUGACACUUUUAAAUGUUAACUACAGAACAACUGAAGGGUUUUGUACGUUGCUCACAUAGGCUCUCAUCCUUAUGUGGUUUCUUGUCAUGUGGGCUUGAAAGCUUGCCACUUUGGAUAUCUACAAAGUGUAAGUCCAACUGCAGUCAGAAGGAUGUUUUAGUUGUCUGGGGCCAAUCUUGGCCUCACGCUGAAAGAUUAGAACUUCGAUGCCAUCAGCCAACUCUGAAAACCUAGGUCCGGCUAUGCUUUGCUGUGUAGUUGUGGGUUGAUGCCCAGCCUGAGCUGUGCUUACAUGUAAAUUGUAUGUGUAGACUUCUGCAGACUCCUGCAUUAAUCUAAGUGCUUUGAGAAGGAGAGAUGUUAAGAGAUAGGUGAGUUUCACAGAGAAGGCAGUGCUAAGGCAAAGGAGCUGGGGGAGGCUGGAAGGGCCUCAGACUUGGAUGGAGGUUGGAACACAGAGGCAGGCUGAUUGGAAGUGUCCUUUGGUCUGGGGCAUUCUGAAGUUCAAGGCUAUUGGGCAGUCUCCAGAGAACAGAAGUGGCACCUUGUUCGCAGUGGCUGAUACGAAUGUAUCAGAAUUGCAAGUCAUCUUCCUGUGGAAGGAGCACAUGGCUCAUCUCCCAAGUGAGUUGGAAAUGAGGAAGCCGAUUACUGGUGAGGUCACUUUGCUCUUGGCUCUGAUUCCAGGGUAAAAGCAGUCUCCAGUCUAGUUUUCAGUGAUGGUUCAAAGCUACAUGUCCAGUGGUGACCUUAUGCCUAUGUCUACCCCAGUACAUGGCCCCAUGUGAUUUUGUUGUUGCGGGGAUUCAGAACCACCCAUCGUGAACACACAGUCUGAGCUUCAUCAAAUAUAUUGCCAUUAUAGCCUUAACUUUUAAACAAAAGGCUCAUGUUAUCAUUAAGAUCUGUAAGAUUUUUGAAUUGAAAAUAUUUGCCUUCCCUUAGUUUGCAUUGAGCUCCAUUAGUUAUAAAGCUGUGCCUGAGUGGAUACUAUCACUCAUGGUCUGGGUGGGAAAUGCCUCUCUCAGUGCUGGAUUGAAGAUGCCUUAAUGAAUGGACCAGGUAGGGACACAAAGGCCAAACAGGAGAAAACUAACAAGGAAUAGCCGAGCAAACAGGACAGUGAUGGGGUUGGAGGGUGAGAGCCAGUGCCAUCCCUAAAGUGCUAAUGGUAACAAAAGCUUACAACUAAGGGUAGGGCAGGAGCUGCCUGAAAGCAGCUAGGGUGGGGUGCUCUUGGAGCCUCCCAAUACUUGAGGCCUAGAAAAAGGAUUUGGGGGUGAGUCAAGGUCUCAGACUUAAUCCUCCACUACAUUCCUAAGGUCAGACUCCUAAAAUGGCGGGAGGCCACGUGGGAGGUGGCUCAUGCAAUUUGGCCUCCUCGGGCACCUGAAGCAAAUGAAGAUUGUCAGCUGAAGAGGCAAAAUAAAGGAAAAACCAGACAGCAUGACAUGAUAGCUCUCCUUAUGGUAGCAAAUGACAGCUUCUUGAAGGACAUGCAAAACUUUCAUGUCUAGUAGUUGGAGCCUAAGUUAUAACUGACUUCACAGGGCUUUAGCUAGAGAGGCUGUGUUUGAUGUGCAUGAUCCUAAACAGGAGCCAGGGGUAUUGGAAAUGGUCCAUGUUGAACAGAGGUCUCCACUUCACAAUUCAAAAU